UACGUAGGGUGCUAGCGUUGUCCGGAUUUAUUGGGCGUAAAGAGCUCGUAGGCGGUCUGUCGCGUCUGCCGUGAAAACCCGAGGCUCAACCUCGGGCCUGCAGUGGGUACGGGCAGACUAGAGUGCGGUAGGGGAGACUGGAAUUCCUGGUGUAGCGGUGAAAUGCGCAGAUAUCAGGAGGAACACCGGUGGCGAAGGCGGGUCUCUGGGCCGAUACUGACGCUGAGGAGCGAAAGCGUGGGGAGCGAACAGG
rnacentral:rRNA from 1 species